rnacentral:rRNA from 1 species
CCCUUAGAUGUUCUGGGCCGCACGCGCGCUACACUGAUGCAUUCAACGAGCCUAUCCUUGACCGACAGGUCCGGGUAAUCUUUGAAUCUGCAUCGUGACGGGGAUAGAUUAUUGCAAUUAUUAAUCUUCAACGAGGAAUGCCUAGUAGGCGCAAGUCAUCAGCUUGCGUCGAUUACGUCCCUGCCCUUUGUACACACCGCCCGUCGCUCCUACCGAUUGGGUGUGCUGGAGAAAUGUUCGGAUCGGCCGUUUGUCGCGGUUUCCGCGGCUCGUGGCUGAGAAGUUCAUUAAACCCUCCCACCUAGAGGAAGGAGAAGUCGUAACA